AUCGAUCAGUGCAGUCACAAUUUUUUUAUGAUGAAGAGUCAUCUGGACAGUUUUGUCAAGCAAAGAGCCCAGCACUUGAUUCAAAAUAUUGAUAACGUGGUAACUUGCAUUAACUUUAAUCUUGGUCAAGAUCCUUGGUUAUUCAAGACCAGCAUGUCGACAUUUUUCAAAUUGAAAUUGUAUGAGAAUGAAAUUAGAGCGCCGGCUAACGACGAGGACAUGUCGAAUAUCAUAUCAGCUGCGAAAAUACUCUUGGAAGAAAACCAAGGCGGUGACGAAAUUGAAACAAUUAGAGAUGAUGAGGACGAACUUCUAGACAUCAUUAGCCCUACGACUCUGAAAUCGAAAGGCAUGAAAGGCAUCAGGGAACUACGCAAGCGGAAAUCCUAUACAAAACCUUCAUCAACGGUUACAUUGUCCGAAACGGAAUGGGAAAAGAGGGAAAACAAGUUGCUCGUGGCUCAUUGGAGAGAAUUGUCCAAAUCAAAGCAAGAGGCAAGGGACGAACUGUUAUUGUGCAAUAUGCUUGUCGGCGCAGAAAGAUCAAACACUAAUGCCGUGUGGCUAUACUUUUUGCAAAUACUGUGAAAAAAAGAUAAACAGCAAGUGUUACUAUUGUAAUGCAAAAGUAAAAUCAAGUGUAAAGGUGAAACUUACGGACUGAACAAGCCCACCAGACUUUCAAUACUUAGACAUUUUUAAUCAAAAAGAAGGUGUAUUGACUAGAAGUCCAGCAUGAAGUAAAAUAAACAUUCACAAUACCGGACGAUAUUAUUAUGUAGCUAUUAUAAUACGGUGAAAUCAUAAAUAAAAAUGUUAAAAACUGCCCGAGAACUUAUUUUUUCACUAUACUGUACAGUACAGAAAAAGAUUCAAUUGACUCCCUUUUCAAAAUCUUAGGGCUUUAUUCAAAUGCGAAUGUAACAUAAGUACUCCUUAAAAUAUGCUAGAAAAAUGUCGAAGAGAGAAUGGCUGAAUUUAAUGGUGAGUAAUCAAGCACGUUCUUAUUAAGCGAGAUGACAACGAUAUCUUUUAUUAAGUAAAUAAUCCAAUAAUGCAUUGCGAUAGAUAUUUCUAUAUCCUACCAGGAAAUGUGACAAAAUUCGGUGUGUUAUCAAUAAUUAUUUACGAAUUACACAAACGUAGGACAGAAUUGAAAAACGAUGUUUGUUUCAAUCAUUCUGUUGAAAUGAUUUUGAUUGAAUGCACUUACUAAGUUAGGCUGUAGGGAUCCCUAUCCUAUUUCAACGGAUGAAGCUUUAAAAGAAACGAACACGGCACUAUAUGAUUUGUUGUUGAACAUUUUGUAUUAUAGAUCAACACAUCACUGUACAAUUCUGUGUUUCAUUUAUUUUCAUCUUUCAAGAAAAUAAAUGGGUCCUUUCAUCACACCCCACAUCAGGCCCCGUAGUCCAAAAUAUUAGACGUGUACAUGCUCAUUUUACCUUCAACAUUCAAUAUUUUACAUUUCAUUUUCAAUCUGCAUUGUAACGUCUAAAAGGGCCCUAAACAGUAGAAUGUAGCAUUUUCUCACACGUAAAAUAUACGAUAUACACAGGUUUAAACAGUUUAGCCUACCGUUACUUAUCAUAUUCUAGUAAUAUAUCGUUUAAAUUUACCUUUAAAACCUCUUAUAUCCAAUAUAUGUCAAUUGUGUACAGUUGUCAAUACACAUUCCGCCAUUUUUCAAGCAUAUUCAGCAGGUUAUAAUAUAUUUAGAAUCGACUUAGACGAAAACAAUUUUCCACGUGAACUAUUUGCCAAGCGAUCUAGAGGGGAAAUAUUUCGUCUAAAAUUGAUUCUCAAAAUAAAAUGUGUUUACACAACAUUCGGAAUAGACCGGCAAUGUUGCACACCAUAACACAGAUACACGGCGAUACAUAUAGUGGAAAGAAACAACACGAUAUUUAUACAUGAACACUAUCUGGGCGAAAAUACCGCCACGAAAGACCAGGGAACAAGUAAACCGGGAUGCCGCCCAGAGACUCAAGACGGCUAGUAAUACUAAUCUAUUACUAUUAGAAAAUAAAAGGCUUCAAGACAUGGUACAAAACAUUCUGGAUUUAUUGAAAAAACAAGAGAGGCGGCUUCCAACUUUUGAAGUGCCGUCCACCGAAACCUGGGAGGAAGAGCUGAAUGAGCCUUCAUUCAGCUGGAAUCCAGCAACUAUAAGAUUUCACAAAACUUAUUCCUCAAGUAUGGGAACUGAGUCUGAGAGCGAAAUAUGGUUUUGGCAUAACCGAAAAUCCCGUAUUUGGUGAGUUCAUUUUACAAAAACAACAAUUACUUUUAUUUGCUAGUAACAACAUGAUCAAAUAAAUUCUUCAGACUGUGAGAGUGUAUUACAAUAGACAUAUAAUCAUAGCAUUCAAAAUAAAGGAAAAAUAACAUUACAUAUUUUAAGUACUAUAAUUCAUUGCCGAAGUCGGUUUCAUUGCAAUUACUGUUUGUAAUAAAAA